UUUUCUUAGGUAUGCCACCAAGAAACAGCAGCACAGGCCACCUGGGGUGGUAGAGAUGUGCAGAAACAGAAAAAGGCCAGCCAGGCUGGGAGAACACAUGGGCAUGGACACAUGGCCUGUCUAUGGGGUCAUUCUCCACCCUCUGGGGCUCAGCUGCCCAUUUGCAGGAGGAGAGACAGCGGGUGAGAGCUGGAUGCAGGGCCAAGGCUUCAGGCCCACUCUGGCUGCUGUCCUGUGUGCAGGAAGCAGAGAGAUUGCUGUCAUGAGAGGAGAAGAAGGAAGUGAACUGCCGUGGUUUUAAAACACGCCCCCAAGUUCUUUGCCGCUCUUCUCUUCAAAGGUGGAGUCUCAGUCCCCUCACUUUGAUUCUGAGCUGGACCUAGCAACUGGCCUCUAAGGCACGUGGAAAUAACAGUGUGUGACUGCAAUUCUAGGUCACAAAAGACUUUGAGUCGUCCUCCUUGCUCUUCUUUCUCAUUGCCCUUGUUCCAGGGAGGCUGCAGCCAUGUUGGAAGGAUGUUCAAGGGAUCCCACAGAAGCUUUGGCUCCCCACAGAGGCCACCGCUUCCCACCAGCAGCCACAGAGGGGGACAUCUUGAAAGCAGAUCCUCCAGCCCCAGGGCCCUCAGAUGACAGUAGUCUGGGCUGACACCUUCAGGGCAGCCUCCUGAGAGGCCCUGGGCCACAACCAUCUAGCUGAGGCCACAGACACCGUGGGAGACAGGAGGUGUUGUGGCU
rnacentral:lncRNA from 1 species